AGUUGCUUUUAGUGGCAAAAAACCAUUUUGUGUUUUAUUGAGUAACUAUGGCCAAAAUGUUCUCAACCCAUUACAAACUUUAUAAAGAGAUGUAGCCCUGCUCUGAAAGCAUCUCUUCUUCCUGGUCCCCAGUGUAGGUGAGCCUGUAAAAAUGACUUCUAUGAACAGAACAUUCUGGAUUACAGAAUCAUGGAGCAGAAAUAAAUGAUCUGAUUUAUGACAAUUAGCAUGGGAAGAGGAAACAGAGAUGAUCACUGGGAGUCAGCAAGAAUGAAUUAUUCCACUAAUUCCCUUUCUUCCCAGAUUUUCUUGAAUUUGAAUCCCAGCUUUUAGACCAAGUCCCAGCACUUCUGAAGACCUGAAAGAAUUUUGAAAACCUUUGCCUCUGCCUGAUUGCUUCACGGGGAUCUAUAGCGUGUCUUCCUAGGAAAAUUGAGAAUUUUAAUGCAGCAUUAAAAAACAAAACAAACAAACAAAAUACUGUCUAAUUAGCUGAGUUUCAACUUUCUUGUAAUUUUCCCCUACCACACAUCUUUGAAGAAUAGAAAAAUACAGCAGAAAAAGAUGUUGUUGGCAGCAGAGAUCCUGCUGGAAGCCUGUCAUGCUCCAGCUCACUGAACAGCUGGACUGAUGUGGAAUGUGCUGCUCGCUCACCUUCACCUGAUUUCACUUUAAGAUUCUGUGCAGCUCGAGCAUGGAGGACCAAGAGUUUCUCAUCCUGGAGCUCCACAUCUGGUCUAAUGGGAGCAGGAGAAACUAGGCAGAGAGUGGAGACAGGAUUUCAAGGAUUUCCUGGGAUUGUAGGGGAUCCUUAGAAUCCGUUAGAGGAGAAAGUUAGAAAGGGUUGGACUAUUUCGUUAACACCGCGUGUCUUUGCUCAGCCACUUCUUUCUUAAGCCUAUCCUGUGCAAAGUCACAGAAGCAUAGGAGGAGACAGAGGCCAGAUGCAGCACCGUGACCUGUCACCGAAGAAGAAAGCACAAGGAGCAGAUGAAAC